CUUAUUUUCUUAUCAUCCGUUUAAGACAAAAGGAGACCAUAUAAAUGGUUACACAUAAUAAUUAUCCUUACCUCUGUGUGCAAUGGACUUACAGAUGGAGUCUGAGGGAAAUUCAACCGAGAACAGUGAACAUGGGACCUCAGCUGGCCUGGAUUAUAUCUUGAAGCAGUUGGAUUUAAUGUCAGAAUUGAUUGACCAGUUGGAAGGCUACGUUCACACUGUCGGUUUUUGGGAUUGACACCCGCAUUUACUUACAGAGCCAUUGGGUUUGGCAAGAAUUCAUGUUGGCUACAUCUAUUGCUGAGCCCUGCAUAUCCAUGAAGACCCAGCUGCUGCAGUGUAACCUGACCGUGUGCUUCACACACCCUGAUAAAAAUGGCUUGCCUCCAGACUGACGUGGAAACCCUAACAUGCACAGACGAC